rnacentral:lncRNA from 1 species
ACGGAGUCUUGUGUGAGCAUAUUUUUGGAUACAUUUCAAAAUGUAAUACAGAUUUCUAAAUAUUUAAAAGAAGACCUUGGCUCUCAACCAGUGUCAUUGAUGUGCUGCCUGAAAGCUUGCAUCCCAGGCCUGGCUUUUCUGAAAUUCCCUGGGUGCUUAUUAUAAUUGUUUCUUCCCUGUGAAUUUCUUCACUUGCAAUCUUGUUGUGGA